rfam:Gossypium raimondii chromosome 2, whole genome shotgun sequence.
CCUAGGGGCGCGUUUUGCUUGCGUGGACACAAAGCGCGCUUACGAGGAUGCGCAUUGCUGCCACAUAGGCAAAGUGCACCCCCGGGG